CCCUGUUCACCAAUAAAUAAUUGAAUAAUAAGAUUUGGUAUAUGUAUGUGUGCCAAUUAAUGAGACAAUUCUCCAUUCAAGUCAUAAUCAGGUUGGGAACAAUGAUCCCUCAAUUUUAUAAAUAUCUUUUUAUGAGGGGUCAGUAUAAGUUACAAUAUAUUUUUUGUAAAUAAAACUUAGUACAAAAGAGCUUAUUUUCCCAAAGAACUAUACAUCUAUCUCGUAUUAAAUGGUCAAAACAUGUAAUAAACCUGGGCUUAGGCCAUGUUAACAUAUUUACUUUCAUAUUAUUCAAAAUAAGUGGACCCCUCUUUAAGAAUAGUAAUGUUGCUUAAAAUAUGAUGUAUUUCUCCUCUUUUUUAAAGUAAUUUUUUUUUCUCGAGUUUUUCAAAGGAUUUGUAUAGUAACACUAUGCAAAUCCUUGGUAUUUCUUUUUUAUAACAGUAAAAUGACCCCAUAUGUGCCCUGUCUGGGGGAGGAUUGUUCCCAACCUGAUAAUAACAAAUACAGGUCAUAGUACGUACGGCAGGGCUUUGACCCAGACCAAACAGCAAGCUAUAAGGGACC
rnacentral:lncRNA from 1 species